AAAGAACUACAACAACCUAUAUUAUCAAGGCAGUUAUAAUUAUGUCCCUUUGCUAACCAGAGUUAGUGCCAAGGGAGGUAGCCAAUGCUGGGGACUUUGACAGGCAACCACAUCAAAUGUCAUCGUAGAUCUAGACUCAGAUGGAUAUAUAAUGAGAUAAAAUAUGAGUAAGAUAUCAGCUAUGGCACUUCAGCAGGCAAAAGCAGCUUUGCGGAAAGAACUGAAAUUGAAGCUAGCUUCUAUGACAGUGGAAGAACGUGCACAACAAUCCAAUGCUAUAGCUCAAAAGGUUUUUCUGAUGCCGGAGUACCAAGCUAGUAAAAGGGUAUGCCUGUAUUUACACAUGGCCGAGGAGGUGCAUACAACUGCCAUACUCAAACAUGCUUUAGAAACUGACAGGGAUUGCUUUAUACCACAGUAU